GGGACGGGACACAGCCGGAAAAUGGAUAUAAACUGGACUAUGAAACCCAGGGAGCCCAGCUAUAGAAACUUCCCAAAUCUCGUCUUACUCCUCCUCCGUGCUAAUUUUCUGGUACCGCUGAGGAUUCUCUGAGUUGCUGCUUUUCCCCGGUAGGCCGGGGCAGGCCGGGCCGGUCGCCAGCCCGGGGACAGCUCUGCCAUUGCCACCGGCCUUACCACUGGCCCCGCGGCCCCGUCGCAGCCCCCUGCCCCGUCAGGCGCAGAAGCACCCAGCUCGACCCUUCCAGAUCAUGUAAAAAUAUCACAAAAUAUAUCUUUCCAUGGGGGAAAGGGCGUUUUUUCCCCGGUAAUCCGCCCGCCGUUGGCGGGCAAGGCUGUCUCACCCCCAGCCAGCCCCGCUCCCCAAGGUCACGAAUGCAAAUGUAGCCUGCCGGCGGUGAAUGGGCUGAAUUGUGAUUAAGAAGAAGAAGAGCUCCUUUCUUUGUUCUCCCCUCAGGGGAUGUUUACUGGGAGAGACACAGCGGAUCAGAUAUGAAAGGCAUUCAGGUCAGCAUUGAUGUGAGCGAAAGUGAAAUCAUACCUAAGGCAUUCAAAAGACCGCCGUGUCAGGGGUUCAGCUAACGGUGCAUCUACUGUAUCUUCCCUGUUAGGCACAAGGGAAAAAAAAAAAAUCUCCACAAACAGGCAUUUUUUAAAAUUACAAGAAAAAUUAUAUAGAGGGAAAAAAAAGUUUUCCCUCGCUUUACCUCCCGAGCAGAAGCUACAGGACUUGGUGCUUUUCUCCUUUAUGAUCAUGGACGGAACAGGUCAACUUGUAUUAAUCGUAGCUGUUGGGAUCAGCAUUCUUUUUAAGGAAAAAUGAUCUAGCCUGAAUUGUGAACCGUUAUUUUCAGGCGCACCUAUACCUACCCUAUCUGUGCACACACCAUACAUACACGCCUAAGUGUAUAUGCAUGUAUACAUCUCUCUCUCUCUCACUAAGUUUCAAGAAGCUGCGUAGCUUAUUUAUUCUGAUACAAAACACAAGCAAUCGCUUCUUGCCUCCCUCAGAAGCAACUUCAAUGAUAAAGGACAGUGUGGCAUAUCAAAACAGCACAGUACACCUUAGAAAGUAAUCUUGUCUGAGCUUGGAAACUCCUAGAAACACUUUGCUGCAAGCUCACAGCGCAUGAGGAUGUCAACCACAGGCGUGAGAAGUUGGUGCACAGCUAUUUAAGUUAAACUGCUUCAAGGAAAAGUCUAGGCAUUGUCGUUUUUCUCAUUAAAAAUGCUUGAUGGAGAAAUA